rnacentral:lncRNA from 1 species
CUUGCCCUUUGAAUGGUUUUAGGUGUUUCCGAAAAAUCCAAUCCACCCUCCAAGGUGGAAAGUGUGCCAUCUCUGCCCAUAAUCCAAAUGGCGUGCCUGAGGCAUAGAAAGCAGCUUUCAGGGAGGCCUUCCUUCCUCUGAGCAAUGGUGGCAUCAUCAGAAAAGUGGAGCUCCUCCAAAAGGAUCUGCUGGAAGCAGAGGACGCCCAUGUCGCCUGGUGACUCCCUCUGACCCAACAAGUUGCAGCACCUCUGCUGGGCUUUGCCACUGCCCCAUUUUUGCCAGAGCCUCACCCUGGUGGGGCCCCACCUCUGGGAAGCCCCAGCGCCUGCAAGAUUUUUUCCUCUCGUGACAGGGAGCAGCAUGCGGAGGGCCCUUGCACAACCUGGGUCUUCAGGAAGUUCCUUGCCCAGGUGUUGGCCCAGCUCUCUUCAUGGUUCCAAGAAGGCUGCCCCAGGAAGGCUUGUGGACAGAGGGAGAAGCAUCUCUUCCUCUAUGUCUCUUUUUAUCUAAGAAACCAGUUUGACCAGCAUCCUUCCCCUCGGCUCCCCAGGAGGAAUGCACGGAUCCCUUCGCCUUCCCCCAUCCCUCCAUGGUUGACUAAACCCACUAGGAUCCACUCUUUUGCGUGGAAAUGGGUUCAGGCCUCCCACGAAGAGCAUGAAGAUGCCCUCUGUUAUGGGUUACAUUAUGUCCCCUGCCCCCGAGACCGUAUGUUGAGUCCUAACCCUAGUAUUGCAGAACGUGAAUUUAUUAGGAGAUAGGGUCUUUAUGGAGGUCAUUAAGUUAAAUGAGGGUGUUAGGGUGGGCUGGUGUCCUGAUAUAAAGGGGAAAUUUGGGGCUGGGUGUAGUGGCUCACACAUAUAAUCCCAGUGCCUCGAGAGGCCAAGGCAGGAGGAUUGCUUGAGGGCAGGAGUUCAAGACCAGCUUGGGUAACAUAGGGAGACCGGUAUCUAUAAAAAAAAUUAAAAACAAAAAAAUUAGCCGAGUGUGGUGGUGCAUGCCUGUAGUCCCAGCUACUCAGGAGGCUGAGGUGGGAGGAUCGCUUGAGUCCAGGAAUUUGAGGCUGCAGUGAGCCAUAAAAAGAUGGGGGACGAUGGAGACGCACAGGGAAAACACCUUGUGAAUGCGGCAGAGAUAAGGGUGAUGCCUCUACACACCGAGGAACUUCAGAGACAACCAGUAAGUCACUGGGAGCUCGGGGAAGGCACAGCGCAGAUGCUCGCUGCCCUCAGAGGGAAGCCAGCCCGCCAACCCCUUGAUCUCAGACCUCUGGCCCCUGGAACUGUGAGAUGAUAGAUUUCUGUCGUUUAAGCACAGUGGUGCUGUGUUAUAGCAGCCCUAGGGAACCAUCCACUAUCAGAACAAAAGCAGGGCUGGACUGCUAGAAGAAAGGAGAGGAGAAUGGCAGAGGAUACCCACCUUGGGGCUGAAUCUGAGAUCACUCCAGGGCUCCCCAGGUUGUUUUGAAGAAUGGAGAUGGAUUUGUGCAGGGCUCACUGUAGAAGCUCAGUGCAGCAUGCGACGCUUAUAAGGCUGCAAUCCCCAGAGCUCAGUCCCUGAAGAGCGCUGCAUUCACAGACAUCAGCCAGCAGACAAACCAGUACCUAUUGUCCCUGACCCCCAGAAUCCAGCAGACAUAUAAAAGAUGGUUGUUAACCCCACUAAGUUUUGGGGUAAUUUGUUAUGCAGCCAUGCAACUGAAAGAAGCAGCUACAAUAUUUUUAUAAUGAAAUUCUUAGCCAGGACCCUCAUAGCCUAGCAAGAAGUUCUGUCUGGAAGAGCCCAGCUUUGGGGUUGGGUAUGUCUGGGUUUUAAUAUGUCAAGAGGGCAGGCCCUGGAGACGGAGCACAUGGAUUUGAAUCCCAGCCUCUCAUAGGCAGGUUAAUUAAUUUCCCUGAAUCUCAGUUUCUUCAUCUCUCAAUGGAG